UUCUAUCUUUCUCUCGUUUCUUCUCUGUUCUACUUUCUCCAUGAUGAUUCGAUUUCGAAUUAUUGAUUCUAAAGUUCUUCGCUUUUUUUUUUGAAAUCCGUUGCUAAAGUUUUAUUGCUACAUGAUAUCUUGAUUUCAGGUUUUGCCGUUGUUGAUUUCUUUGAUCUAUCGCUAUAAAGAACCCUAGGAUUUUCGGAUUAUAGAUAUCAAGAAUUUCGUAAUUCUUUUAAUCUUCUUUUAUUGAUCAGUUAUCGAGACUUGUUUGCAUAAUUUUUGGAUUAUUGGAUGUAAUUCUUCUUCAUUGGAUAACCGAGAUACGUGUUUCCGUUUUGCAGCUAGAUGAUGAAUCUAGAUCAGUUUUGCGUUGCGAUUGUUGAUAUUGUGGAUAACAACAGAGAACGGUUCCAGAUAAAUUGAAUUGAACUGUGAACAUGAUUCUGAAUUCUUGAUUCUAAAGUUUAGUUUUUUUGGUUCAUAAGAUCCGUUGCUCAGACUUGUUUGAUUCGUCAUGUUUGGAUUUCUGGCUUUGCUUUGUUGAUCUGAAGGGCAUUUCUUGAUUUCCUCUUGGAUUCUGGUUUCUUGAUUCUAAAAGUUGAUUUUUCACGUUUCUUGAUUUGUUAUCUUGAUUUCAGGGAUCGCUGUUAUUGUUUUCUUUGAUUUUCUCAUAUUGCAGAUAUCAAGAAUUUCACAUGAUCACACUUCUAUUCACUCUUCUUUUAAGCAUCAUCGGUUAUCAAUAAUUAUUUCAAUAACUUUUGUAUAUGAUUCUUCAGUUGAUAAUCGAGUUAUACAUUUAUCUGUUUUGCUUUUGCAGUGAGCUGAAAAGUUUUUGAUGUCU
rnacentral:lncRNA from 1 species